AUUGAACGCUGGCGGCAGGCCUAACACAUGCAAGUCGGACGGUAGCACAGAGAGCUUGCUCUUGGGUGACGAGUGGCGGACGGGUGAGUAAUGUCUGGGGAUCUGCCCGAUAGAGGGGGAUAACCACUGGAAACGGUGGCUAAUACCGCAUAACGUCGCAAGACCAAAGAGGGGGACCUUCGGGCCUCUCACUAUCGGAUGAACCCAGAUGGGAUUAGCUAGUAGGCGGGGUAAUGGCCCACCUAGGCGACGAUCCCUAGCUGGUCUGAGAGGAUGACCAGCCACACUGGAACUGAGACACGGUCCAGACUCCUACGGGAGGCAGCAGUGGGGAAUAGUGCACAAUGGGCGCAGGCCUGAUGCAGCCAUGCCGCGUGUAUGAAGAAGGCCUUCGGGUUGUAAAGUACUUUCAGCGGGGAGGAAGGCGGCAAGGUUAAUAACCUUGCCGAUUGACGUUACCCGCAGAAGAAGCACCGGCUAACUCCGUGCCAGCCGCCGCCGUAA
rnacentral:rRNA from 1 species